AGUAAUGGUAGGCUCAUUUCGAGGGCUAAGCCAUGCAAGUGCAAGUACGCUUGCUAAAAAGCUUAACCGCGCGAGCCUCGUGCCUUCCUAGGACCGAGGACCAUCCGCAGUUUAGUCAGACCGAGUCGACUGCGUACGGCUCAGUAGACUCGUCAUAAUGGACGUUGGUAGAAUCGUAUCAACGAGCUUUGGAUAACGGUGACAAAUUUAGCGCUAAUACAUUUACGUCGCUAGUUAUCUAGGCAGUUCGCUGCUUAACUUGGCUGCAGUCGAGGAGAGCUAACGUUGGCCGAACGGUAAAACGUUCGCGUCAAUAGCGAUCCCGGAGAGGGACUGUAGUCGGAUCUUGUCGUCCAUUAAGACAAGACGCCUCAACACCGGAGGCGAGCUUAUCAGGCCUGAUGCGCGCAUCAGGUUCUUGCCUAGCUGUUACGAGUAACGGGGUAUCAGGGUACGAUACCGGAGAGGGAGCCUUAAAAACGGCUACCACUACCAAGGAAGGCAGCAGGCGCGCAACUUACCCAAUACCGACACGGUGAGGUAGUAAAAAGGAGUGACAUUGCGAAGAUCCUCUCGAGAGGCUUCGUUAUUGGAUUGAAAACAAUCCAAAUACAAUAAAUAGUUACUGGAGGGCAAGUCUGGUGCCAGCAGCCGCGGUAAUUCCAGCUCCAGUGGCCUACGUUAACUUUGCUGCGGUUAAAAAGCUCGUAGUCAAGUUUGCGUUUGGUCGCGUCGGCAGUAUGAUUCUCUAAGGAAUCGCUCUGGCGCGCCGAACGUCAGGUCCGGAGCGUGCGACCGAUCUGUUCGCCUCGCGCGUUCAGUAUUCGCGUCGGACAACGGGCCACAUUACUUUAAGCAAAUUAUAGUGUUCAAAGCAGGUCAGGAGUGNNNNNNNNNNNNNNNNNNNNNNNNNNNNNNNNNNNNNNNNNNNNNNNNNNNNNNNNNNNNNNNNNNNNNNNAGAGGUGAAAUUCUGAGACCGUCGCAGGACGACCUACAGCGAAAGCAUUUGCCAAAAACGUCUCCUUCGAUCAAGAACGAAAGUCAGAGGUUCGAAGGCGAUUAGAUACCGCCCUAGUUCUGACCUUAAACGAUGUUAACCAGUUAUCCGCCAUAGUAUGGAUUACUUGGUGGGCAGCUUCCGGGAAACCUAGAGUGUUUCAGUUCCGGGGGUAGUAUGGUUGCAAAGCUGAAACUUAAAGGAAUUGACGGAAGGGCACCGCCAGGAGUGGAGCCUGCGGCUUAAUUUGACUCAACACGGGGAACCUCACCAGGUCCGGACAUGAUUGCGAUGGACAGAUCGAUAGCUCUUUCUAGAUCUCAUGGAUGGUGGUGCAUGGCCGUUCUUAGUUCGUGGAGCGAUUUGUCUGGUUAAUUCCGAUAACGAGCGAGACUCUACCUUACUAACUAAGACGUACGAUAUACGCGAGGUCUGUCACCGCUCGUUCGUGCGCUCGUUCCGUUCGCGGUGCGUGUGUGCGGCGGGUCGGUGCGGGCCAUGCUAUCGGCGCAUAUGUUUUCUUCUUAGAAGAACAAGCUAUAUAUAGUAGCACGAGAGAGAGCAAUAACAGGUCUGUGAUGCCCUUAGAUGUCCUGGGCCGCACGCGUGCGACAAUGAAAGAGUCAAUAGGUGUCCUAGGCCGAAACGUCCGGGUAAUCCUAGCAAUCUCUUUCGUGUUGGGGAUUGGGGCUUGAAAGUGCUUCCCAUGAACGAGGAAUUCCCAGUAAGCGCAGUUGAUCAAUCUGCGCUGAUUGAGUCCCAGCCCUUUGUACACACCGCCCGUCGCUACUACCGAUGAGCGGGCUAGCGAGAUCUUCGGACCGGCGCCUCGCAAGAGGUCGUUACCGGAAAGUCGAUCAAACUUGCCCGUUUAGAGGAAGUAAAA
rnacentral:rRNA from 1 species